AUGGCGGUCAGACGUGUGGAGGGGACAAUAGGACACCAUUGUUGUCACUUAUAUGCAUCACCACAGGAAAGGAGAGCACCAUGUGUUGCAGCAACUUUAGACACGACGUUCGAUUGGAGAGGAACAGGAGAUGGGAACAAAUCGAUGAACGAUACACAGUACACCUUACUCGCGUUCCCUCGACCAGCCGCGUCUCCACCACGCAGCCGGAAGCCGCAUGCUACUCAAAGAGAGAGGACCAAGGAGAGAGAUGGUUCAAGGUGGCGGUGGAGGCGGCAGUGGGAUGCGACAGAGUGUGGAUGCGGUGGGUGGCGGCGGCGGAUGGGGCAGGGAGCAAUGACAAUGGUUGGGGCGUAG
rnacentral:rRNA from 1 species